rnacentral:rRNA from 1 species
GAUGAACGCUGGCGGCGUGCUUAGCACAUGCAAGUCGAACGGAAAGGCCCAAGCUUGCUGGGGUACUCGAGUGGCGAACGGGUGAGUAACACGUGGGUAAUCUGCCCUGCACUUUGGGAUAAGUCUGGGAAACUGGGUCUAAUACCGGAUAGGACCACAUUUUGGAUGGUGUGGGGGAAAGAUUUUCGGCGUGGGGUGAUGUCGCGGCCUGUAAGCUGGUUGGUGGGGUAGUGGCGGACAACGGCGUCGAGGGGUAGUCGGCCUGAGAGGGGGUAAGGCCCCAUUGGGACUGUGAGACGGCGCACAGUCCCACGGGGGGGAGAAGUGGGGAAAAUUUGACAAAGGGCGCAAGCCUGAUGCAGCGACGCCGCGUGGGGGAUGACGGCCUUUGGGUUGUAAACUCCGUUCGCUAGGGACGAAGCGCUUUUGUGACGGUACCUGGAGAAGAAGCACCGGCUAACUACGUG